rnacentral:rRNA from 1 species
CCUACGGGCGACUGCAGUCGAGAAUCAUUCACAAUGGGGGAAACCCUGAUGGUGCGACGCCGCGUGGGGGAAUGAAGGUCUUCGGAUUGUAAACCCCUGUCAUGUGGGAGCAAAUUAAAAAGAUAGUACCACAAGAGGAAGAGACGGCUAACUCUGUGCCAGCAGCCGCGGUAAUACAGAGGUCUCAAGCGGUGUUCGGAAUCACUGGGCGUAAAGCGUGCGUAGGCUGUUUCGUAAGUCGUGUGUGAAAGGCGCGGGCUCAACCCGCGGACGGCACAUGAUACUGCGAGACUAGAGUAAUGGAGGGGGAACCGGAAUUCUCGGUGUAGCAGUGAAAUGCGUAGAUAUCAGGAGGAACACCGGUGGCGAAGGCGGCCUGCUGGACUGCAACUGACGUUGAGGCCCGAAAGUGUGGGUAUCAAACAGGAUUAGAUACCCGAGUAGUC